rnacentral:rRNA from 1 species
CCAAUAGCGUAUAUUAAAGUUGUUGCAGUUAAAAAGCUCGUAGUUGAAUUUCGGGACCAAUUUGUUGGUCGUGCCUCGGUACGUACUGGUAUUAUUGGUUUCUCCCUUCUGAAGAACCUCGAUGCCAUUAAUUUGGUGUCGUGGGGAAUCAGGACUGUUACUUUGAAAAAAUUAGAGUGUUUAAAGCAGGCAUACGCUUGAACACAUUAGCAUGGAAUAAUGAAAUAGGACGUUUGAUUCUACUUUGUUGGUUUCUAGGAUCGACGUAAUGAUUAAUAGGGAUAGUUGGGGGCAUUAGUAUUCAAUUGUCAGAGGUGAAAUUCUUGGAUUUAUUGAGGACUAACUACUGCGAAAGCAUUUGCCAAGGAUGUUUUCAUUAAUCAAGAACGAAAGUUAGGGGAUCGAAGACGAUCAGAUACCGUCGUAGUCUUAACCAUAAACUAUGCCGACUAGGGAUCGGAUGAUGUUAAUUUUUUAAUGACUCAUUCGGCGCCUUACA